rnacentral:rRNA from 1 species
AGAGCGAACGCUGGCGGCGUGCUUAACACAUGCAAGUCGAACGCGCAGCAUUCUGUAGCAAUACAGGGUGUGGGCGCGUGGCGAACGGGUGCGUAACACGUGGAUAACCUUCCUUCAGGUGGGGAAUAACCCAGUGAAAAUUGGGCUAAUACCGCAUAACAAAACGAUGAGACAUCUUGUUGUUUUCAAAGGCGCAAGUCGCCAGAAGAGGGAUCCGCGGCCGAUUAGCUUGUUGGCGAGGUAAUGGCUCACCAAGGCAAUGAUCGGUAGCCGGACUGAGAGGUUGGCCGGCCACACUGGAACUGAGACACGGUCCAGACUCCUACGGGAGGCAGCAGUGGGGAAUCUUGCACAAUGGGCGAAAGCCUGAUGCAGCAACGCCGCGUGGGGGAUGAAGCUUCUCGGAGUGUAAACCCCUUUCGACCCGGAGAAAGCCCGCAAGGGUUUGACGGUACGGGUAUAAGAAGCCCGGCUAACUACGUGCCAGCAGCCGCGGUAA